rnacentral:rRNA from 1 species
AUACGGAGGGAUCGAACGUUAAUCGGAAUUACUGGGCGUAAAGCGCGCGUAGGCGGCUUGUUAAGUGAGAUGUUAAAGCCCCGGGCUUAACCUGGGAACUGCAUUUCAAACUGGCAAGCUAGAGUAUGGUAGAGGGUGGUAGAAUUUCCUGUGUAGCGGUGAAAUGCGUAGAUAUAGGAAGGAAUACCGAUGGCGAAGGCAGCCACCUGGACCAAUACUGACGCUGAGGUGCGAAAGCGUGGGGAGCAAACAGGAUUAGAAACCCCGGUAGUCC